AUGCUAGUGGGGCCUUCCUUUGGAAGAGUUGAGCGCCCUACCGCAACACUUGUUGAGCUCACAACACUCGGCGAGGCCGCGGGGAACUGCACUGUGAUCCAUGGGAAGCAGAGGCCCUACCCAGCAGCCCCCACGGGAGAGGCGGGGCAGAUCUCUGGAUCCUACCAGGAAAGAGGUGAGGGUGCAAGGAGGCCUGCCGGAAUGAGCUCCACCUGGUCGGCUUUCAGGGAGAAUCAGUGCCCAGAAGAGCCUCCUUUGCUCCAGGUCAGCUGGAACGGCCCAGGUAUGGGUACAGGGAGCGGAAGCUUUGCAUCUUCACUGCAGCACUGAGUCCAUUGGCCUUAGGAGCAGCCCUCCCCUGGGUGGGGACCGUGACGGCAGCGGCACUGUGGUGGACCACUGCUGAAUGAAGUUGUGAUGCGUGGGCACUUGGGUCUCAGUUUCCUGCGCGUAUCUCUGAGCCCUUUCUGGAGAUGACUGCAGAGAUCUCGAAGCUCUCAUUAGCCCUGCUGAAAGCAAAUUGCUCGGAACCCGGGAACACGUGCUGCUCCAUAUCCCGCUUGGGUCCAUGGUCCCGGGGAGGAAAUAUCUUCUGUCUCUUCUGGAAGCCCUUGGAUGACACUAGCUUCACUGCUUGGGAAAGAAAUAAUUGAUCAGUCAUAGGAUAUUGUCAGCUGAGCAGCAGUGACAAAAGAACCAUCCAGACUGUGCAGUUACCUAGGCCUUGGCUCCACCGCCUCUGUACGAGCUGUUGGGAGCUCAGGCUGGGGAUGGUCUGCUGUCAAGCUCUGCUGACUUUCUUCCACCUGUGUGGUGCUUCUCUGAACAAGCAGAUCUUUUCUCAAGACCCCGUUUUAUUGUGUCAUGGCUUUUUCUCACAGUUCCUGCUGAUGAAGUUGCCCUAAGUUAAUGUUAGAAGAGUCUUCAUCAGGCAUGGCUAAUAAUUUUUUGCUUCCUGCCAAUCCCAUCUGGAAAUAUUGACAAUCUAUUCUGCCUGGGGCCCAAGGAUUAGCAUUCACUCCAUUUCCCCUCUAGCUCUUCCUCAUUCUGUGUGGUUCCAAAUUAGCCCUGGGUUUCCUGCUUUGUAUUCUCUGCCCUGGUGGCCAUGGAAGAAGUUAAAUUCUCCACCUUGGGUUAGGUUAGAUCAUCCCUUGAUACUACACAGAAACAGGAACUUGAUGUACCUUUCUGUGUAAUGCUGGCAGGAAUCCACUCUAUAACUGCCACUCAGGAAUUGUUUCUGUUGAGCGGCUUCAUGUCACCUUUGGUGAACGUGUUAGUUAUUUGAGCCAUAAAGAGGUCCAAGCUCUUCUACCCACCCAUCCCCCCAAUACUAUAUGUAGUUAGUGAAACGUUCCAUAC
ensembl:lncRNA